GAUGAACGCUGGCGGCGUGCCUAAUACAUGCAAGUCGAGCGGAAGGACGCGACGCUUGUUUCUCUGAUGUUAGCGGCGGACGGGUGAGUAACACGUGGAUACCCUACCUAUAAGUCUGGGAUCACUUCGGGAAACCGGAGCUUAUCCCGGAUAAUAUUUUGCUCCGCAGGGUUCAAAGGUGAAAGACGGUGUUGCUGUCACGAAUAGAUGCUUAUGCGCUGCUUUGGCUGGUUGGUAAGGUAAAGGCCUACCAAGGCGACUAUGCAUAGCCGACGUGAGAGAGUGAUCGGCCACACUGGAACGUAGACACGGACCAGACGCCUACGGUAGGCAGCAGUAGGGAACCGGCCGCAAUGGUCGAAAGCCUGACGCAGCAACGCCGCGUGAGUGAUGAAGGUCUUCGGAUCGUAAAACUCGGUUAUUAGUGAAGAACAUAUGUGUAAGGAACUGUGCACAUCGUGACGGUACCGAAUCAGAAAGCCACGGCUAACUACGUG
rnacentral:rRNA from 1 species